rnacentral:lncRNA from 1 species
UUAUGAAAUGGUUUAUCAUGUGGUUAAUUUCAAAAGAACUAUGUUUAAAUGCACUAGCUUGUGGCUAUGGUUGAUGAUAUGCUUAUGUCUUGUGUGUUAAGCAUAAGAAACGGGUGGAAUGGUAAUGGAAUAGUAAGUUCAUACUUGAAGUGUAAAUUGAUGAAAAAGGGAAUGAUGAGUUGAAUUGAUAUUGUUAUUUAAGCUAAAGAAAGUAAAUCAAACAGAAAGUAAUGAAAUGCAAAUAAAAG